rnacentral:tRNA from 1 species
GGGCCUAUAGCUCAGCUGGUUAGAGCGCACGCCUGAUAAGCGUGAGGUCGAUGGUUCGAGUCCACUUAGGCCCACCA